AUUGAACGCUGGCGGCAGGCCUAACACAUGCAAGUCGAGCGGCAGCGGGAAAGUAGCUUGCUACUUUUGCCGGCGAGCGGCGGACGGGUGAGUAAUGCCUGGGAAAUUGCCCAGUCGAGGGGGAUAACAGUUGGAAACGACUGCUAAUACCGCAUACGCCCUACGGGGGAAAGCAGGGGACCUUCGGGCCUUGCGCGAUUGGAUAUGCCCAGGUGGGAUUAGCUAGUUGGUGAGGUAAUGGCUCACCAAGGCGACGAUCCCUAGCUGGUCUGAGAGGAUGAUCAGCCACACUGGAACUGAGACACGGUCCAGACUCCUACGGGAGGCAGCAGUGGGGAAUAUUGCACAAUGGGGGAAACCCUGAUGCAGCCAUGCCGCGUGUGUGAAGAAGGCCUUCGGGUUGUAAAGCACUUUCAGCGAGGAGGAAAGGUCAGUAGCUAAUAUCUGCUGGCUGUGACGUUACUCGCAGAAGAAGCA
rnacentral:rRNA from 1 species